rnacentral:tRNA from 1 species
AAAUUUAGGAUAAUACUCAUAAACCAAGGGCCUUCAAAGCCCUAAAUAAGAGCACACACCUCUUAAUUUCU